AAAGAGAGAGAAGUCAGUUGGUGACCAGGUAGAUGGACAUUAAACUUUGGGGGUGAAAACUCGAAUUGCUGACAAGUUUUUGGAGUGAGCAUCACAUCUGAACAACUAGGAGACAAACCCAAAUACAGUUGUCUUUCCCAUGAAAACUGCAGCUCAAAUUUUAGACAUACACCUAGUUCUCCCAUUUUAUGCUAAAAUCUGAUGGGAAAUCUUGUUAGACAGAGGUCAACGGAUGAGCCAAUGGAAAAUAAAGACAAGGACUGCAGUGGGAGGUGCCCGAGAAUUUUUCUGACAUAAAAAGAGACACACAGACCAAUGGAACAGAAUAAAAAACCAGAAGCAAAUCCACGCAUCUACAGUGAAGUCAUUUUUAACAAAGCUUCCAAGAACAUACAUUGGGGAAAGACAGUCUAAUCAAUAAAUGGUGCUGAGAAAACUAGAUAUCCAUAUGCAAAAGAAUAAAACUAGACCCCUAUCUCUCACCAUAUCCAAAAAUAAAAUCAAAAUGAAUAAAAA